GGGUGAUAUGUAACUGACCGUUCAUAGAUGAAGAAGCAGAACGUAUGGUGAUAGCAGGUUUCUCAGAACUACAGGUUGCAUCAUCUGCUCCUACAGACUGUUUAACAGGUCCUAACGUGCUUAUUUCACCUUUCUCUUGACUCGUGCCACCAUCUUUGCUAUGAAUAGCUUUCUUUCCUGCUUCAGCAGGCAAUGACAUGACCUGACUAUUAUUUGCAACAGUUGUGGAGCAUGUAAGUGGGCUAAAUAUUUCAGCUUUCUGUUUAAGAGGUCCACUAGAACUUGGUGCACUGGCAGGCGGCACUCCAUUAGAACUUGGUGCACUGGCAGGCGGCACUCCAUUAGAACUUGGUGCACUGGCAGGCCGCACUCCAUUUGAACUUGGUGCACUUACAGGCGGCAGUCCAUUAGAACUUGGUGCACUGGCUGGUGGCAGUUGGUUAUUUAAUGCACGCGUUCCCCUGGAAAAAAAGG
rnacentral:lncRNA from 1 species